GAAUAAAUAGCUUAGCUUUAGACAGCUUGUUGAAUACAUUCACAGGAUUGACAGCUGGAAAAUUUUGUUAAAAUUAUUUAAAUAAUACAUUAAAUGUCUUUUUAUGAUUAGCAGAAAUUCUUGAAGAUCAUACAGUACAAUAUUGACUUUCUCAUAUUGUCUUCCUUAACAUAAGUAUGUAACUCUUAGUAAAACGAAGUAUUAGAAGAGAUGCGAUAUUUUAAGGUACGUCAUAGUUUGCUUCUUGGAGAGAGAAACUUCUUACUAUAAGAAAAAAGUCAAGUAAUAAAGACCAAGACCACAAACGAGUUCGCGCUGAAGAGAUAUUUAACGACAAUUAAGAGGUCAUAGCCGAGAUUGACACCUCAUUUGAAGCAAAAUACAAAUCGCACUACGAAAAUUGUAUGGACAGGUUGAGAGGUCGCUAUAAUAGGUAUAUCGGCUUCGAUGGUAUGCGAUUUGAAAUAAUAAAAUCGAAUUUUUCGAAUGAAGGUAUUUAUCUUUAAAGCAAUACGAACUUUUCAGUAUGUUUGUUAUGUACGAGUGUGUUGUCUGUCACCGUUAUAAAAACACAUGCUUUCUCGUUAUGAGCCUAUGAGAUCAUAAACCAUCACACACUCGCAUAAAGUUUCAAAAAUAUAUAUUUUUUCGGCUAGAAUUACCAAUAUUUAUCCAAAAUCCAACAAAUAUAUAAAAUCUUUUUCUAACUA